rnacentral:rRNA from 1 species
GUGCCAGCCGCCGCGGUAAUACGAACUGUGCGAACGUUAUUCGGAAUCACUGGGCUUACAGGGUGCGUAGGCGGCUUAGCAAGUCAGGUGUGAAAGCCCCCGGCUCAACCGGGGAACUGCGCUUGAAACUGCUGAGCUCGAGUCAGCUAGAGGUACACGGAACUUCCAGUGGAGCGGUGAAAUGUGUUGAUAUUGGAAGGAACACCGGAGGCGAAAGCGGUGUACUGGGGCUGGUCUGACGCUGAGGCACGAAAGCCAGGGGAGCGAACGGGAUUAGAAACCCCCGUAGUCC